rnacentral:lncRNA from 1 species
CCAGGGAUUGAACUUGGGAUCUUGUGCAUAUGAGGCAGGCGGUGGCACCACUGAGCAAAAUCCCCGGCCCAACAGUUUGAUAUUUUGAAAUCUGUAUGCAAUAUGUGAUGACCAAAUCAGGGGUCUGCAGCAGAACAGCUCAUUGACAUCAUCCUAUGAGAGGGGAUCAAGAUUCUCAAAGUGAGGGUAGUUUUUUGGACUCCCACUGUGGCCACUCUGUGGGGAAGACCACGUGGGAUGGCAAAGGUGAACACGAGGAAGACGGGCUUUGUGGUUGUCAGUGGCAAGGGUUGACGAGAAAGAGCAACGGAGUGCUGUCUUCUACUGAGACGAGGAAGAGCGAAGGAAGAGCAAGCUGUGGUGGGUCCCAGGACUCCUACAUAACUGUGACUGUGUGUCGGGGAAUGACUUAUAUCCUUGUAACACUUGACAUUCUGCAAAAAGAGUUUCGUGUCAGUCUUAUGAGCUGGGUGGAGUGGAUGCUAUUUGUUUCCAUUUUGUGAAUAAAAAACCCAAGGCUCAGAAAGAGCAAGGCAGUGUAAUAGAUAUGGCUAUUUUGAAACUCGCAUAAGCACAAAAGAAAAUAAAUUGGCUCUUGUGAAGGGGGGCAUCUAAG